AACGAACGCUGGCGGCGCGUCUUAAACAUGCAAGUCGAACGAUCUGUAGCAAUACAGGGAGUGGCGGACGGGUGAGGAACACGUAGGAAUCUACCUUGAAGAGCGGGACAACUUUGGGAAACCGGGGCUAGUACCGCAUAGUACAGAGAUGUUAAAGGGCUAGCAAUAGUCGCUUCGAGAUGGGCCUGCGGUCUAUCAGCUUGUUGGUGAGGUAAUGGCUCACCAAGGCUACGACGGAUAGCCGGUCUGAGAGGAUGAUCGGCCACACUGGCACUGAGACACGGGCCAGACUCCUACGGAGGCAGCAGUUAAGAAUCUUGCGCAAUGGGGGAAACCCUGACGCAGCGACGCCGCGUGAAGGAUGAAGGCUUUCGGGUUGUAAACUUCGGUAGACUGGGAAGAAGAAAU
rnacentral:rRNA from 1 species